rnacentral:rRNA from 1 species
UACGGGGGGAGCAAGCGUUGUUCGGAUUUACUGGGCGUAAAGGGCGCGUAGGCGGCGUGACAAGUCACUUGUGAAAUCUCUGGGCUUAACCCAGAACGGCCAAGUGAAACUGUUGUGCUAGAGUGCAGAAGGGGCAAUCGGAAUUCUCGGUGUAGCGGUGAAAUGCGUAGAUAUCGAGAGGAACACCAGAGGUGAAGACGGGUUGCUGGGCUGACACUGACGCUGAGGCGCGAAAGCCAGGGGAGCAAACGGG